CGUCAACAAAUUUCUGAUAUUCGGGUAAGAGAUGCUAUCUUAAUUUAUGAAAUUUGUUUGUUAACAAUUAAUUUUAGGUUGUGCAUUGCUUAAAAUUUUUGGAAUAAACUAAAACCAAAAUAACCAAAUUUAUUAGAUUCUAGAACUGAACCAAACCAAAUUUAAGGAAUAAAUUGUAUUAAACUGAAUCCAUCAAAACUAAUUUGGUCGAAUUCAAAUGUUCAUUUUUG
rnacentral:misc_RNA from 1 species